rnacentral:lncRNA from 1 species
CUGGGUGGCCCUGGGUAUGGAUGCCCCACCCACUGUGCCUGCUCUACCUGUUUCUUCCUCUUCCUCUCAUGGUCAUUGGCCACAUCCUUUAUAGUCAGCUGCACAGUGCCCUUUUCUCCGAGUGCUGUGACAAAACCCCAGGAAGGCCGUGGGAAGCCUAUCAGUCAGAAGCACCGGGCAUAGCCUUGGCCCUGUGCUUUGUGUCAGAAGUGGACGCCCCAGCCUGUGGGAGCCGAGCUGUUCUGGGUCAGGUGUCAGAGGUUCUAGACGUGCAUGGACUGAAGGUUUCCACGGGCAUGGACAGGAGGACUGUACUCCCGGGUGCACAGGAGGCAGGAUGUCCACGAAGCCGUGUUUGGUCAGUAGUGGUAAAAGGGUAAUAAAAGGCGAGGGCAGGGACUGGUUUCUUAGUGGCCAUCUAGAGGCCCAAGAGGCUGGCCUGGCAGGAAGCAGGCACGUUUAGGUCUGAGGACACCGACGCUUUUCUUAUGGAGAAGAGAGUUGGACACCGUAUACCUAGGUUGUCAGCCAGUAGCAGAAUUCAAAACUAACAAACC